rnacentral:rRNA from 1 species
AUGUUAAUAGCGUCCUUGCUUGACUAAGGCUCCGGAGGAAGCCACGGCUAACUCUGUGCCAGCAGCCGCGGUAAUACAGAGGCGGCAAGCGUUGUUCGGAAUUAUUGGGCGUAAAGAGCACGUAGGCGGCCGCGUAAGUCGGUUGUGAAAGCCUUCCGCUCAACGGAAGGACGGCAUCCGAUACUGCAUGGCUCGAGUGCGGGAGGGGAGAGUGGAACUUCUGGUGGAGCGGUGAAAUGCGUAGAUAUCAGAAGGAACACCGGCGGCGAAGGCGACUCUCUGGUCCGUAACUGACGCUGAGUGUGCGAAAGCUAGGGGAGCAAACGGGAUUAGAUACCCCGGUAGUCCUAGCCGUAAACGAUGGGCACUAAGUAGAGGGA